rnacentral:rRNA from 1 species
CACGCCGUAAACGAUGUCGACUAGCCGUUGGGAACCUUAGAGUUUCUAGUGGCGCAGCUAACGCACUAAGUCGACCGCCUGGGGAGUACGGCCGCAAGGUUAAAACUCAAAUGAAUUGACGGGGGCCCGCACAAGCGGUGGAGCAUGUGGUUUAAUUCGAUGCAACGCGAAGAACCUUACCAGCCCUUGACAUCCUCGGAAUCCUGCAGAGAUGCGGGAGUGCCUUCGGGAAUCGAGAGACAGGUGC